CAGCCUGGGCAACAGAGCGAGACUCCGUCUCAAAAAAAAAAAAAAAAAAAAAAAAAAAAUUCCAUCUGGCAGGGCACACAGUAGUCUCUCUCUCAGUUUAGGAGGGUUGUCCUAAGAAUAGGACUUACUCUUAAAGGCACAAGAGGGACCAGG